UACGUAGGGUGCGAGCGUUAAUCGGAAUUACUGGGCGUAAAGCGUGCGCAGGCGGUUUUGUAAGCCAGAUGUGAAAGCCCCGGGCUCAACCUGGGAAUGGCAUUGGAAACUGGCUUGCUAGAGUGUGGCAGAGGGGGGUGGAAUUCCGCGUGUAGCAGUGAAAUGCGUAGAGAUGCGGAGGAACACCGAUGGCGAAGGCAGCCCCCUGGGCCAACACUGACGCUCAGGCACGAAAGCGUGGGGAGCAAACAGG
rnacentral:rRNA from 1 species